rnacentral:rRNA from 1 species
CUUUCAACAACGGAUCUCUUGGCUCCAGCAUCGAUGAAGAACGCAGCGAAAUGCGAUAACUAGUGUGAAUUGCAGAUUUCCGUGAAUCAUCGAGUCUUUGAACGCACAUUGCGCCCCUUGGUUUACCAGGGGGCAUAUCUAUCCGAGCGUCGUUA